rnacentral:rRNA from 1 species
UACAGAGGUCUCAAGCGUUGUUCGGAUUCAUUGGGCGUAAAGGGUGCGUAGGCGGCGCGGUAAGUCGGAUGUGAAAUCUCGGAGCUUAACUUCGAAACUGCAUUCGAUACUGCCGUGCUUGAGGACUGGGAGAGGAGACUGGAAUUUACGGUGUAGCGGUGAAAUGCGUAGAUAUCGUAAGGAAGACCAGUGGCGAAGGCGGGUCUCUGGACCGGUACUGACG